CUUUUAUUGGAUGUUGACCGUCACAUGUCCCGUGUUUAUUGGACGUUAAUUUUGUGCACCUAAUUAAUGUUAACUUCCAAUAAAAUCCCGACAUGUGGCAGUCAACGUCC
rfam:Glycine soja cultivar W05 scaffold3338_12, whole genome shotgun sequence.